UGGACCAAUGAUGAAAGGGUAUCAUGAAACAAGGAUUAUGAUUAAUCCAAUUCCAAAGACAUCCCAC
rnacentral:snoRNA from 1 species